rnacentral:rRNA from 1 species
ACCGGCGCACGGGUGAGUAACGCGUAUGCAACCUGCCUACAACAGGGGGAUAACCCGGAGAAAUCCGGACUAAUACCGCAUAAAACAGGGGUCCCGCAUGGGAGUAUUUGUUAAAGAUUUAUCGGUUGUAGAUGGGCAUGCGUUCCAUUAGUUGGUUGGUGAGGUAACGGCUCACCAAGACGUCGAUGGAUAGGGGAACUGAGAGGUUUGUCCCCUACACUGGAACUGAGACACGGACCAGACUCCUACGGGAGGCAGCAGUGAGGAAUAUUGGUCAAUGGGCGAGAGCCUGAACCAGCCAAGUCGCGUGAAGGAAGACUGCCUUAUGGGUUGUAAACUUCUUUUAUACAGGAAUAAAAAGGCUUACGUGUAGGCCAUUGCAAGUACUGUAUGAAUAAGCAUCGGCUAACUCCGUGCCAGCAGCCGCGGUAAUACGGAGGAUGCGAGCGUUAUCCGGAUUUAUUGGGUUUAAAGGGUGCGCAGGCGGGCUUUUAAGUCAGCGGUGAAAUCUGGACGCUUAACGUCCAAACUGCCGUUGAAACUGGGAGUCUUGAGUAUGGAUGAAGUAGGCGGAAUUCGUUGUGUAGCGGUGACAUGCAU